UCAAAACGAAAGCCUCAAUAUGGAAGCCUCAAUACGGAAAACUCAAUACAGAAGCCACGUGGCAUGUUUGACUUCCAAAAUGUGUUCAAAAACUGAAGCAUUUACUUCAGUUCGAAAACUAAAACAUUUAUCAACGGAGACGUUUGAAAACCGAGGUACCACUGUAUCUUCUAAAUAAGGGCUGUUGUAGAAAAUCCUGUUGUGAAAGAAUACUGUUGUAUAGCAUGAUUGGUCAUGUUCCAUCUAAUAAAGGCUAAACAGAAUGAGCUCCUUCUAAAGGUAUGGCAACUGAAUUUCUAUUAGCAGCCUCAAAAAGUAGUAUUGCCUUUUUUUUACUUUUUUAAGAAAAAGCUUUUUCCUUAUUUUUGGAGCUUACCAUUGGUUAGCUUCACCAGUGUCCCACAAAAAUGUUGCUUGUCCGGUUGCGGGAUUUAUAGUCAUCCUGAGUAUCUCUAGAUUGUUGUCUGCCAGAGAAAACAAUUUAUUGGCAAAUUCAUUCCGCUUCAAUAAGAAGACUGCACAAAAUAUUUCUCUCUCUCUCUCUUCCCUAGUGUGGCUGUUCGUUCUUUCUAUCUUUUAAGGUGUGCUUUGGUCAAGAUGUCCGACUCUUUUUAUUUAAAGAAAUGAAUUCAAUAAUUCAUACUGAGGCUUUUCUGUAAAAGUGGCUGAGAGUUGUGAGGAGGGAAUUAAAUUUAAUGCCCGCUGUUUCCCCUGCCUUUGCCGGGAGGAGGAAUGAGCAGCAACGAAGAACUUCACACUUUUUGCUGACACUGGGAAACAAGUGAGGACCUGCUAGUCUAGGUUACCUGAGCGCCUCUUGAAAGGUGACACACAUGAUGAGUUGGAGGAUGGAUGGUGGCUAACAGAUUGAGGUUGAAUCCUGACAAGACAUAAGUACUGUUUGGGGGGGGGACAAGGGAUGGACUCCCUGGUCCAGAAUGGGGUAACUGUGCCUCUGAAGGACCAGGUGCGCAGCCUGGGAGUCAUUUUGGACUCACAGCUGUACAUGGAGGUCAGGUCAAUUCUGUGUCCAGAGCAGCUGUCUACCAGCUCCAUCUAGUACACAGGCUGAGACCCUACCUGCCUGUGGACUGUCUCACCAGAGUGGUUCAUGUUCUGGUUAUCUCCCGCUUGGACUACUGCAAUGCGCUCUAUGUGGGGCUACCUUUGAAGGUUACCCAGAAACUACAACUAAUCCAGAAUGCGGCCACUAGACUGGUGACUGGGAGAGGCCACCAAGACCACAUAACACGGGUCCUGAAAGACCUACAUUGGCUCCCAGUACCUUUCCGAGCACAAUUCAAAGUGUUUGUGCUUACCUUGAAAGCCCUCAGCUCAGUAUACCUGAAGGAGCGUCUCCACCCCCCAUCGUUUUGCCCAAACACUGAGGUCCAGCGCCAAGGGCGUUCUGGUGGUUCCCUGACUGCGAGAAGCGAAGUUACAGGGAACUAGGCAGAGGGCCUUCUCAGUAGUGGCGCCUGCCCUGUGGAACACCGUCCCAUCAGAUGUCAAGAAAUAAACAACUAUCUGACUUUUAGAAGACAUCUGAAGGCAGCCCUGCUUAAGGAAGCUUUUAAUAUUUGAUAAAUUAUUGUAUUUUAAUAUUUUGCUGGAAGCCGCCCAGAAUGGCUGGAGAAACCCAGCCAGAUGGAUGAGGUAAAAUAAUUAUGAUUAUGAUUACGAUUAGUGAAUCAAAGAGGCGAGGAGUUCCAUCACACAGGAUAUGACACUUGGGGAGUAGAGAGACAUAACAGAGGAUUCCUUUCCCUCUGUUGUGCAACGUUGCUCAGGAUCUGUUGCCGCAAGAUGUGGUGACCACUGCAAAACAUUUCCAUUUGCUCAGAUUAUGUUAUGGUCCAGAUCUAACAAUAACAGCUAAGAACACUUCCAGAACGAGCUGUGGUCCUGCAAAGAAUAGCCUUUUUCUUUUUUCUAUUUGCGUUUCCAGGAAAAGACAGCAUUGUUGCUGCUUCAAGCAUGCCACGCAGCACAGACUGAAAUCUUUGGCAUCUCACUCUGGCUUCCACUGUGAGUCUCUCUCUGCCUCAGACGCUCCCUCAGCCAAAAGCCAGCUGCUUAUUAACUCUUGGAUCAGAGCUGAAUAGCACUGCCUGUGGACAUGGUCUCCCCUAUCGCAAAACAUUGCAAGUUCACCAAGGAGAUCUGGUUCCUUUGCAAACAACAGAUACUGGGCUUCCUUUUCUCUGAUGUGCAAAGUUUCCCUGGCUAGAAUGGGGGUCUUUGCAUCAUGUGAUUCAUCUGCCUGCAAUCAGAAGCAGUACAGUUCCAGGAGUUUUGUACCAUGUGAAUCUUCUGUGGUGUUGUUAGGGGACAG
rnacentral:lncRNA from 1 species